ensembl:lncRNA
CUUCAUGCUGUUAGCAACUCCCUCAAACCUCUGCCUGGAGAGGGCAGUGAGCUGGAUUUAGCUUGUCCUGAAGGGACCCUUGCAGUUGCAUCCAAUAUAAGCUUCUAGCUCCAGGUCCUGGAAAUUUAUCCCCUAGGCUUGCUUGGUUAGGCUUCAGCUCCACAGACUAAAGCUCAUGGCUAUCCUUAUCUUCUGUGUCAAACUGUAGUUUCCACUAGACGAUAAUGACGUCUCACCAUUUCUGCAGCUAGCCUUCUUUUAGCCCCACGGACUGCAGCCCGCCAGGCUCCUCUGUCCAUGGAAUUUUCCAGGCACAACUUUGUUGGAAUUUUUUGCUGGUUCCAAUAGAUUACCUGAAGAUUUUUUUGGAUUUUUUUCUUCAGACAUUCUUAUCCUUUGUGAGUAAGGGUAAUUUGUUUCUUCUUUUAAAAUCCUUAUGUCUUUAUACUGGCACACAAAAAAAGGGAUGCAUAGAUCAAAGGAACAAAACAGAGAGCCAGAAAUAAACCCAUGCCCUUACGGUCAAUUAAUCUAUGACAAAGGAG